CUGGCAACCGCGCGGCGUCACCGGGGCGCGCCGGGAACCGCCGCCCCGCGCCUGCGCUCAGCGCUGGGGCCCGCGGGGAGCCAGCGGGCCCGCUCCGGUGCGGUCGGGCGGCGGCGGCCAGCGCCAUGCCGGGCCGCUGCGAUGCUUUACCAGUGAAUGAGAACUCUUGAUUUGAGGUGAAGAACUUCACUAUGGGUCAAAUUUCAAGCCAGACACAAACUGUAAUGAACAAGUUGCCAGAAAAAGUAGCAAAGCAUGCCUCUUUGGUUCAAGAAAGUGGUUUCCUAACGUAUGAAGAAUUUCUGGGAAGAGUAGCUGAACUUAAUGAUGUUAUUGCAAAAUUGGCUUCUGGGCAAGACAAACAUCUGUUAUUUGAAGUGCAGCCUGGUUCUGAUUCUUCUGCGUUCUGGAAGGUGGUUGUUCGGAUAAUCUGUACUAAAGUAAAUAAAGCAAGUGGCAUCGUGGAAGCUUCAAGAAUCUUGAACUUGUAUCAGUUUGUUCAGCUUUAUAAAGAUAUUACCAGUCAAGCAGCAGGAGUUCUUGCACAGGGCAGUACUUCUGAAGAAACUGCAGAGAGUUUGAUGUAUGUGUCAUCGUGCCAGGCCAGCUUAUGGAUGGGAAGGGUUAAACAACUGACAGAUGAAGACGAAUGUUGCAUCUGCAUGGAUGGACGUGCUGAUUUGAUCUUGCCAUGUGCUCACAGUUUCUGCCAGAAGUGCAUUGACAAAUGCUGCUUGCUUUAUCUGUUUGGAUCUUUGGAAGCCAAGUGAGAAAUGAGAGAGGAAUUCAUUAACAGGUCAGGAAAUUAACAAUUGCAAAACGUACAGUUGACAGAGACACCAAGAGGUAGAGACACCAAGAGGUUAUCCCACCAAGCUGAGGAGGAGAGUGAAGAGGAGAAUACUCUGGGUCAUGUGCAGCCUUAGUACUACUAUGUCUGGGUCUAAUUUUAGGAAUCAGUGGUUCAGAGGAUAAUGUCAGACAUGGUUUUAGACAAAACUAUUCUUGGAUACAUUGUAAAAUACAGAGAGAAUUUUCUAACACUAACCCGAAAAUUCAAUUUAUGAGAAAAUUUUCAGAAGAAUUACAACACUCAUGUUUCAAGUCUGCCACCCACUGACAAAUUAUUUUAAUUACAAAACAGUGGCCUGGGGAUGAGGAGUUGUACGAUGGUUAUUUACUGAUAUGCCAGAAAUAAUAUCUGUCCUAGCCACGACAGUCAAGCUGUAUAUACAGUAUUGCCGUGUUAUACAGCUAUGUUAAAUUUCAUGAACAAAUGAUCCCAGUUACUCUAGAUAUAAAUAAUCAAAAUCUUAAUCAAAACCUUUUGAAUGAAUGCUGAAGCACAGGGAUGUUAGUAAGGGAAAAUGACCUUUGUCCCUGUGCAGAAAAAAACUAGAGCUUUCCUUAAAUAAUUCUAAGAUCUAAAACAAGGAGUAGUAACAAGCUAAAGUAGUUUUUUUCCACUAUAACUAAAGUUCUGCUUACAGUAACCAAAAGCAGGCAUCACCAAGCCCUUGACAUAUAAGAACAGUUGAUUUUUCCUAUAAAGACAGAGCUUUAAAAUAUUCACGUGGUAAAAUAUCUGUUUUUGUAGCUUAAAUAGAAAUAGGAAGCUCCGCUGAGCUUAUGCUUUUAUGAUCAAAGUGAAGAGUAACUUGUGCCAUGCUAAGAAUAUUAAUUUGGGACUGUCCAGAUAAGUUAAUUUGGUGACUGCUAUUUGAACCAGUGACUGAUGUCUAAGCAGAUAGUGAUUAGUAUAGAUGAGCAAGCAAGCAAUACCUUCUUCAAGAGCAAUCCAUGAGAAAUGUUGUCUGCUGUCAGAAAGGCUGAUACAAGAUGCGUGAUAGACCCAGCUUCUCCACAGUGAGGUCGAAACAGAAAAGUACACAUGCCUCUUUC